GACGAACGCUGGCGGCGUGCCUAAUACAUGCAAGUUGAGCGCUGAAGGUUGGUACUUGUACCAACUGGAUGAGCAGCGAACGGGUGAGUAACGCGUGGGGAAUCUGCCUUUGAGCGGGGGACAACAUUUGGAAACGAAUGCUAAUACCGCAUAAAAACUUUAAACACAAGUUUUAAGUUUGAAAGAUGCAAUUGCAUCACUCAAAGAUGAUCCCGCGUUGUAUUAGCUAGUUGGUGAGGUAACGGCUCACCAAGGCGAUGAUACAUAGCCGACCUGAGAGGGUGAUCGGCCACAUUGGGACUGAGACACGGCCCAAACUCCUACGGGAGGCAGCAGUAGGGAAUCUUCGGCAAUGGACGAAAGUCUGACCGAGCAACGCCGCGUGAGUGAAGAAGGUUUUCGGAUCGUAAAACUCUGUUGGUAGAGAAGAACGUUGGUGAGAGUGGAAAGCUCAUCAAGUGACGGUAACUACCCAGAAAGGGACGGCUAACUACGUG
rnacentral:rRNA from 1 species